rnacentral:tRNA from 1 species
AAAAACUUAGGAUAAUUAUAAACCAAGGGCCUUCAAAGCCCUAAAUAAGGGCGCCAUCCCCUUAGUUUUUG